rnacentral:misc_RNA from 1 species
GCCUCCUUUUUCUAUUGGCUAAUUAUUUCAUACAUGGGAAGCGAUAUAAAAAUUCAGUUUUACUGUACCAAAUUGAAGUAAGCAAUUUGAUGAACAGUAUUAAACGAUAUUCUACAUCCAAAUUAGUACAUUAUUUUCCAAGCAUUCUUCUCUUAUAUUAUGCAUCAGCAGGCCAGUAAGCUCCCACAACAAGGAAGUGUGAAUUCACAGGUAUUUCUUUCCAAUCGCAUGGAGGUAAGAACAAAGCUCUUGUGGUUUGG